rfam:Myotis brandtii contig229374, whole genome shotgun sequence.
AGACCCAGAGAGAGAAGCAGGAUCUGAUCCCCAGCCUCAGUGGCAGCUGUUGAUCAGUACUUGCCUCUCUCUUUCUUGCCC